UACGUAGGGUGCAAGCGUUGUCCGGAAUUAUUGGGCGUAAAGAGCUCGUAGGCGGUUUGUCGCGUCUGCUGUGAAAACCCGAGGCUCAACCUCGGGCCGCAGUGGGUACGGGCAGACUAGAGUGCGGUAGGGGAGAUUGGAAUUCCUGGUGUAGCGGUGGAAUGCGCAGAUAUCAGGAGGAACACCAAUGGCGAAGGCAGAUCUCUGGGCCGUAACUGACGCUGAGGAGCGAAAGCGUGGGGAGCGAACAGG
rnacentral:rRNA from 1 species